rnacentral:rRNA from 1 species
AGAGAGAGACAUGCGCGCAUAUCAAUAAGCGGAGGAAAAGAAACUAACAAGGAUUCCCCUAGUAACGGCGAGUGAAGCUGGGAAGAGCUCAAACUUGGAAUCUUAAAGGGUUUCCCUUUACGAAUUGUAGUUUAAAGAAGUGUUUUCUGUUGAGGUUUUGGUAAAAGUUCUUUGGAAUAGGACAUCAUAGAGGGUGAGAAUCCCGUAUUUGACCUUUACUUUCAACUUUGUGAUACACUUUCAAAGAGUCGGAUUGUUUGGGAAUGCAGUCCAAAAUGGGUGGUAAAUUUCAUCUAAAGCUAAAUAUUGGCGAGAGACCGAUAGCGAACAAGUACCGUGAGGGAAAGAUGAAAAGAACUUUGAAAAGAGAGUUAAACAGUACGUGAAAUUGUCAAAAGGGAAGCGUUUGACACCAGUGUUGUUUUUCUGAAAAUCAAUUAAAGAACUGUUUAUGCUAAGUUGUUUAGACUUUAUCAGCUAACUGUUUAGUUUUGAGCUUUUCUUUAAUGCACUUUUCAGUUAACAAGUCAACAUCAAUUUCUUUUGCUGUAAAAAAGCUUGAGGAAGGUGGCUUGAGAUUCGUCUUAAGUGUUUAUAGCCUCUUGCCUAUGCAGUCGGAGAGAUUGAGGUCUGCAGCGUAGAUCCUUCGGGGCUAAAUGCAUUUGUGCUAAGUUAUAGCAUUUUAUAGACAACUUGUUGACUAUGAUUUGUCUUGUAGCUUACUCGCUUAUGUUAUUUUACCUACGCUUAGGAUGUUGACGCAUGAGAUAUACGC